rnacentral:rRNA from 1 species
AUUGAACGCUGGCGGCAGGCCUAACACAUGCAAGUCGAGCGGAUGAGAGGAGCUUGCUUCUCGAUUCAGCGGCGGACGGGUGAGUAAUGCCUAGGAAUCUGCCUGGUAGUGGGGGACAACGUUUCGAAAGGAACGCUAAUACCGCAUACGUCCUACGGGAGAAAGCAGGGGACCUUCGGGCCUUGCGCUAUCAGAUGAGCCUAGGUCGGAUUAGCUAGUUGGUGAGGUAAUGGCUCACCAAGGCGACGAUCCGUAACUGGUCUGAGAGGAUGAUCAGUCACACUGGAACUGAGACACGGUCCAGACUCCUACGGGAGGCAGCAGUGGGGAAUAUUGGACAAUGGGCGAAAGCCUGAUCCAGCCAUGCCGCGUGUGUGAAGAAGGUCUUCGGAUUGUAAAGCACUUUAAGUUGGGAGGAAGGGUUGUAGAUUAAUACUCUGCAAUUUUGACGUUACCGACAGAAUAAGCACCGGCUAACUCUGUGCCAGCCGCCGCGGUAA